AUACGGAGGGUGCAAGCGUUACUCGGAAUCACUGGGCGUAAAGCGCGCGCAGGCGGCUAUUUAAGUUGGGUGUGAAAGCCUACGGCUCAACCGUAGAACUGCAUCCAAAACUAUUUAGCUAGAGUGUGGGAGAGGAAGAUGGAAUUAGUUGUGUAGGGGUAAAAUCCGUAGAGAUAACUAGGAAUACCAAAAGCGAAGGCAAUCUUCUGGAACACUCCUGGCGCUGAGGCGCGAAAGCGUGGGGAGCAAACAGGAUUAGAAACCCUAGUAGUCC
rnacentral:rRNA from 1 species